AUUGAACGCUGGCGGCAGGCCUAACACAUGCAAGUCGAGCGGAUGAGAAGAGCUUGCUCUUCGAGUUAGCGGCGGACGGGUGAGUAAUGCCUAGGAAUCUGCCUGGUAGUGGGGGACAACGUUUCGAAAGGAACGCUAAUACCGCAUACGUCCUACGGGAGAAAGCAGGGGACCUUCGGGCCUUGCGCUAUCAGAUGAGCCUGGGUCGGAUUAGCUAGUUGGUGAGGUAAUGGCCCACCAAGGCGACGAUCCGUAACUGGUCUGAGAGGAUGAUCAGUCACACUGGAACUGAGACACGGUCCAGACUCCUACGGGAGGCAGCAGUGGGGAAUAUUGGACAAUGGGCGAAAGCCUGAUCCAGCCAUGCCGCGUGUGUGAAGAAGGUCUUCGGAUUGUAAAGCACUUUAAGUUGGGAGGAAGGGCAGUAAGCGAAUACCUUGCUGUUUUGACGUUACCAACAGAAUAAGCACCGGCUAACUCUGUGCCAGCCGCCGCCGUAAAAC
rnacentral:rRNA from 1 species